UUUUGUAAUUGAAAGACCCCCAGAGUGGAGAGACCUUCACUCAAGUCACGGGAUAAUGCGACCCCCCAAGAACUCACGUGAGACC
rnacentral:pre_miRNA from 14 species